CAAAUACGGGGAAAUAUUUAUGGUCGUUAGUAUUAGGUAUGUGCAAACCAUGAAAACAAUGACGCACCACUUUAUACCCAUUUGAUACACAAAUUUUUUUUAAAGUCUACAGUAUUAAGUGUAAGACAGAAUGUAGACAGAGAGAAUCUUUAUACAGUGCUCUACACUUUGAAAACCAGUCAGAUAUCAUUUUCUAAUGUUAGAUGGUCACCUAUCCUAUAUGCCUAGAUAUAUACCUAAGAAACACUCCAUAUCUACAGCAAGAGGCAUGUAUGAGAAUGCUCAUUACAGCUCUGGUUAACAAAAUUAAAACCCUUUAAAAUCCCAAAAUUUCAUCAAUGAGAGAAUGGGAGGAUAACUAUGGCUCAGUGGAAUGUUGUAUUACAAUAAAGAUGAGCUACAGUAACAUACAACAAAAUGGAUGAAUCUUAUUAAUAAGAUAUUAAUAAAAGAUAAAUCUCCAAAGAUUUUAUACAUGAAAUUCCUUUGUAUAACGUUAAGAAUUGUGUGUGUGUGUGUGUGUGUGCGCGCGCGCGCGCGUGUGUGUGAUUUAAGAACAUAUAGAUGGAAGGGAAUUAUAUAAAAAAGGAAAGCAAGUGUGUGUUCUAUAAAGGACUCAGGUGGUAGAAGGGAGUGGGGUGGAAUAGGAGAGGGAGAGUAUGGUUAGAUGUAGGUUAUUGUUGCUCUUCUGAUUGUUUGGGGUAGGGUAUCUCAGGUGUUUAUGAUGUAAUUAAAAAUAAUACACUAAAUAUCCAGUUAACUAAAUAAAAGUAGGCUGUGAAUGGAUCAAUGAUGACAAAGUAUCAUGAAUGAGGGAUUGUGAAUAAUCUAUUUUUAUGAACCUGUGGUCAAAUUAAAAAUAAUAAAUUGGGCUUUUUUUUUUUUUUUUAAUAUACACGGGGUCUCACUCUGUAGCCCAGGCUGGAGUGCAGUGGCAUGAUCAUAGCUCACUGUAACCGCGAAUCCUUGGGCUCAAGAAAUCCUUUCACCUCAGCCUUGAGAGUAGCUAAUACUACAGGCAUGCACCACCAUGCCCAGCUAAUUUUUUUUUUUUUUUUUUGAGACGGGGUCUCGCUUUGUCACCCAGGCUGGAAUGAAGUGCCGCAAUCACAGCUCACUGUAACCGCGAAUCCUUGGGCUCAAGAAAUCCUUUCACCUCAGCCUUGAGAGUAGCUAAUAAUACAGGUAUGCACCACCAUGCCCAGCUAAUUUUUUUUUUUUUUUUGAGACAGGGUCUCUCUUUGUCACCCAGGCUGGAAUGAAGUGCCGCAAUCACAGCUCACUGCAGCCUCAACGUCCUGGAUUAAAGUGAUCCUCCUGCCUCAACCUCCCAAGUAGCUGGGACUACACCCUGCUAAUUUUGUAUUUUUUUGUAGAGAUGGGGUUUUGCUAUGUUGGCCAGGCUGGUCUCAAAUUCUGGGCUCAAGCAAUCCUCCCACCUUGGCCUCCUAAAGUGCUGGGAUUACAGGCAUGAGCCACUGCGCCCGGCCUAAUUUUUUUUUGUUUUUAAUAAGGUUUUGUAGAGACGGGACCUCCUCAUAUUGCCUAGGCUGGUCACAAAUUCCUGGACUCAAGCAAUUCUUCCACCUCAGCCUCCCGAAGUGUUGGGAUUACAGACAUGAGCCACUGUGCCCAAUCUAAAUUGGGCUUUCAAAAAUCAACACACAAUUUCUCUCUUUGAUCUAUCAAUUAGCUUUAAACACUACCUGUCUGAUAUUAAUAUUCACACUAACUUUUUUGUUUGUUUGCAUGUGUCUGGUACCUCUUUGCUCCCUGCUCUAUUUUCAGUGUUCUUUUAUAAAUUGGUUUUAAAUGUCUCAUAAGAUGAACGCUUCUUAAACUUUAACAUGCACAUGAAUGACCUUUAUUUUAUUAAAAGUUUCUGUUCAGUGGGUCUGGGGUGGGACCUGGGAUUUUGCAUUUCUAGCAGGCUUCAGGGAAUGCGAGUGUUGCUAGUUCCACACACUUUGAGUAACAAAGUUAUAAACAAUGUAUAUCUGAUCUUUUCUUAACCAAGAAAGUCUCAGUCUAUAUUUUAAUAAAGGACUUUGGCAUAUUCACAUUUAAUGAAAACAAUGCAUAUACUUAAUUUUAGUCUUUCCAUUCUACUUUAUGUUUAAUUUAGGAUUUCAUAUUUUUUAUGCUAGUUGAAUUGUCACUAUUUAUUCACUUUUUCUCUUGUUUGGAAAUUCUAAAACCAUUUUCUAUUCAACUUAUGGUGUUUUCCUGUUUCUCAACAGCUGCAAUUUAUUGCUUAAACAAGUAUUUAAUAAAUGCCUACAAUCAUUUGUUGAGUGUAUUUAUGUACUAUUCUUGGAAAACAAAGUGCCAACUAUUUCCUCCUUCCAAGAUACUCUCUUCAUCCACUGAUUUCCCUACUCCAAUACAAUGAGAUCUUUAGAUUAUAUUUUCCUUUCCUCUUUUUCCCUACAAGAUAACAUCUUUAUAAUUCAUUCAUGUGUCUCCCACCUUUACAACCUCUAGGUAUUGCUGAGGUAACUAUAUUUAGGUUUUACAUUACAGUAUGUGCUUUCUGUUCUAAGAAUUGUAUCUGAACAGUGAUGUUGCUCAUUAUCCAUCACUCUGUCAUUAUUCCUUUACAUUCAGUUACAUAUAUUGCAAGGUCCAUUUCUCACUUCUCUUUCCUCUCCUUUUUAUUUUCCCCUAAUUUAAGUUCUUCCUUGGGAUUCAAAAGUUCUUUAAAGUCCUUUUUAUUAAUAUAUUUUUCAGAUGGGGUAUAUGAGUGACAUAUUUUCUAAAUUCUUGUAUAUCUUCCUCUUAUCCUGGUAGGUAGGUGAUUGCCAUCUUGACUGAAUAUAGAAUUCUUGGGUUGUAUCUACUGAAUUUCAAAAUUCAAAACAUAUAUUUCAACUUCAAGAAAGUGUUUGCGCUUUAAUUUAUUUUCCUUAUGGGCUCAUAGUGUAAUAAUUAUCAUCAUUAUUUGGUUCAGAUUGCCAUCUAUCUCCUCAGGAGUUCUUUAUUAGGGAGCCAUCUGAGUGAGAUUCUUGGCUUGUUCUUCUACUCUGUAUAUACAGUGUUUUGUUCCUUUCUCAGCUCGUUGCUGCAUUAGCUCUUGGGGCUCAGGUUCACCUGCCAUGUACUCUCCAUGGAAUCAGUGUCAGUGAUGAAGCUGAAAUAGUAAUGUCUAUCCUUAUGGGCCACUGGUAUAAUGGACAGCAGGACAUCUCUCAAUCAUCUCACCUCCAAAGGCUAAUGCUCUUUAAACUUAGAUCCCAGACACUUCUGCAGCUUUUUGGGAGCUGGGGAGACCAGUUAACCCUACCAACACCACUUGCUCAUGUUUGUUCUGCUCUUUCCCUUGUGGGUUCUCUUUACAAGACAACCUAGCUCAGUCUAUAAGGAUUCUCAGGGCAAAGCCACUCUUAAUUUGGCAUGUGGAGCACACUGUAGUGCAUAACAAGCAGUCAGGAGCAUACCAGAUGCCUCUCUUCUACUGACAAAUUCCAGAAUCUUCAGCCUGGCAUGGAAGUGGAAGGACUUUCUCCUUUCUUUUCUUUUUUUUUUUUUGAGACGGAGUUUCGCUCUUGUUGCCUAGGCUGGAGUGCAGUGGCAUGAUCUUGGCUCACUGCAACCUUUGCCUUCUGGUUUCAAGUGAUUCUUCUGCCUCAGCCUCCCAAGUAGCUGGGAUUACAGGAGCAUGCCACCACACCCGGCUAAUUUUUUUAUUUUUAAUAGAGACAGGGUUUCACCAUGUUGGCCAGGCUGAUCUUGAACUCCUAACCUCAGGUGAUCCACCCGCCUCGGCCUCCCAAAGUGCAGGGAGUACAGGCAUGAGCCACUGUGCCCAGCCUCUCCUCUUACCUUUCUAAUCUUAGCUUCUCUAUUCCCUUUCCUCUCACACAUCCAGAAAAUUCACUCUUCUAUGUCCAUGCCACAAAUAAGUUUUUGCACUCCUCCCUAGAUUCUUCCUUCAGGCUGGUUGCCAUACUCCUAACUAUGAUUGCUCCCUUCAGAUUAUUACCAACACCAUGGUCCCCACUACCCAGAGCUUGCUUCUAAGCUGUACGCAUCAUGGGUAUUUGUCUAACCUGAUAGGGCAAAGUCCUCUGAUUACAAUAAAUUACGUCACACAUCUAGAUGUUCGGGGUUCUGACAUGAUACCAGUCUUGAAUAUGAUUUUCCUAUGAUACUUUUCUGGAGGAGUUCUUCUGCCAGUAGCUUCUGGAUUAAAAGCCUAGAAAAAUGUUGCAGGUAUUGAACUACCAUGUUAGACUUUAAGGAAAACGAAAGUUAAUGUUAUGUUUGAACAAACAAAUCAACUCCUUCCCCUCUUUUCCAUUUCUAAAGCAGUAGCUAGUGGAAUAUAAAUGUUUCUCUUUCCUUUUUCAACAGAAAGAUCUGCAUUGAUCAGCAUGGUAGAAAGUUAUGGUUAAAAUGAUUUUAGAAUAACAGACAAUGCUAAUUAUCUGGAAAAAUUCCUUGAUUGGCUGAUUCAUUCAUUCUUCCAUCAAUUGCAUAAACACUGAUUGAGUAACUGCUUUGGGUCAGCCUCAACUCUAGUAGCUUUGUUUUAACAUUUAUGUUCAUUCUCUGGAUAUAUUUCUUUAAUUUGAACAAUUAGUGGUGGUGGUAUGAUUUUUGCUCUUAUCACUCAGACUUCAUAACUCUUGCUAUUUUGUCACUCUUAAUAUUUAUAUGACAUCUAGUGAGUGAUUGAUCUUCUGUAGGACCCUGUAGUCACUCACAUUUGCUUAUCACUAGCACAUAGGGGGCAAUCCACAGAUUUAUGGCUGCCAAUAGAAGUUGUUACCAAAAGUACCAUUUCUUUUUUUUUCUGUGUGCUAAUUUCUAAUAACUCUUGUGCAGGAGAGCAAUUACUGACAAAAGUCAGCCUCUGUUAAUAGAGUUUAUCACACUUCAUCAUAUAUCCUUUGUCGUUGGAAGCAUUUUGACAAGCCCAGGGUUAAUUAAAACCAAGAAGACAAUAAAAUACACCUAAUCAAACAUAACAGGUACAGAAAUCAAUUAGCAGAUUUAUAGUACUUUGGAGGUUUCCAUAAUGUAUAAAAUUCAAAGAAACUAUCGUUUCCAUUUCCUCAAGACAGUGUAAUUAAAUUUCUAAUUGAAACUAUUUUUCAGUAGGUAAUGUACAGUCCGCCCAAGUUUGAUUUGCAUUAAAGUGGGGUCUAUAGAGGUUGAAAGAGCCUAGGAAAUUAAAAAGAUCAUUGAGUCAUUUCCAUUAUUGUUAUUUUGUCUAUCUGAAAGUUGAGGGAAAGUUAUACUGUAUAAAAAAGAGGAGAAAGGAAAAGUGGU
rnacentral:lncRNA from 10 species